GUGCCAGCAGCCGCGGUAAUACGGGAGGUGCAAGCGUUGUUCGGAGUGACUGGGCGUAAAGCGCACGUAGGUGGGCUUGUAAGUCGAAUGUGAAAUCCCCGGGCUUAACCUGGGAACUGCAUCCGAAACUACAAGUCUUGAAUGCUUCAGAGGUUGGUAGAAUUCCAGGUGUAGGAGUGAAAUCCGUAGAUAUCUGGAGGAAUACCGGAGGCGAAGGCGGCCAACUGGGAAUGCAUUGACACUGAGGUGCGAAAGCGUGGGGAGCAAACAGGAUUAGAUACCCUAGUAGUCC
rnacentral:rRNA from 1 species